rnacentral:rRNA from 1 species
CCAGACUCCUACGGGAGGCAGCAGUGAGGAAUAUUGGUCAAUGGGCGAGAGCCUGAACCAGCCACGUCGCGUGAAGGAAGACGGUUCUAUGGAUUGUAAACUUCUUUUAUAGGGGAUUAAAGUUAUCCACGCGUGGAUAUUUGCAAGUACCCUAUGAAUAAGCAUCGGCUAACUCCGUGCCAGCAGCCGCGGUAAUACGGAGGAUGCGAGCGUUAUCCGGAUUUAUUGGGUUUAAAGGGUGCGUAGGUGGCCUGAUAAGUCGGGGGUGAAAAGCUGUGGCCCAACCACAGUCUUGCCUUCGAAACUGUUUGGCUUGAGUAUAGAUGAAGUAGGCGGAAUUUGUGGUGUAGCGGUGAAAUGCAUAGAUAUCACGAGGAACUCCGAUUGCGAAGGCAGCUUACUAAGUUAUGACUGACACUGAAGCACGAAAGCGUGGGUAUCAAACAGGAUUAGAUACCCUGGUAGUCCACGCAGUAAACGAUGAUAACUGGGCGUAUGCGAUAUACAGUAUGCUCCUGAGCGAAAGCGUUAAGUUAUCCACCUGGGGAGUACGCCGGCAACGGUGAAACUCAAAGGAAUUGACGGGGGCCCGCACAAG